rnacentral:rRNA from 1 species
UACGGAGGGUGCAAGCGUUAAUCGGAAUUACUGGGCGUAAAGCGCACGCAGGCGGUCUGUUAAGUCAGAUGUGAAAUCCCCGGGCUUAACCUGGGAACUGCAUUUGAAACUGGCAGGCUUGAGUCUUGUAGAGGGGGGUAGAAUUCCAGGUGUAGCGGUGAAAUGCGUAGAGAUCUGGAGGAAUACCGGUGGCGAAGGCGGCCGCCUGGACAAAGACUGACGCUCAGGUGCGAAAGCGUGGGGAGCAAACAGG